rnacentral:tRNA from 1 species
GCGCCCGUGGCCUAAUGGAUAAGGCGACUGGCUUCUAGUCAGGCGAUUGUGGGUUCGAGUCCCGCCGGGCGUG